UGGACCAGUAAUCCUGACUGGUGGCAUAUGAAUCACUGAUGACGAGUACUGUGUGUGUGGGACUCUGAAGUUCAA
ensembl:snoRNA